CGAAAUUUAAUUUUAACACACACACAUAUCGACACAUACACUUGGGUGCAAGCUCGGAACAAAUUAUCGGGUAACCGAAUUUUCGAACUUGUUGGUGUUAUGGGAUAUGUGGAGGCCUAAC
rnacentral:sRNA from 1 species